rnacentral:misc_RNA from 1 species
AUUGCGGCAUGUAUAGAAAAGAUAAAAAACGAAAGAAACUUGAUAUCUGGUCACUCAACAGCUGGAGCAAUAGAAGACAACGAGUUCCAAAACCACUGGACCGAACUUCGGGAUGCUAUUGUCGAAAUCGAGAAAUGUUUGACCAGUGGAAAUUUAUAUGAACGAGGUGUAGAAUUAUUGCUAUCCUGUGAUCUAAACCCUCAAAAAUCUAAAGAGUAUGAAGAUGAGUUCAAAAGAAUACAAGGCACAGUGACAGAUUCUCAAGGUGAUCAAAAUUAUUUUUCUAAUAUCAGUAAUCGAAAGGAUUGAAAGUCUUGAAAGUUCCAAAGCAAGAACAGAAAAUGCGCUAGUCAUAAAGCAAGAGAAAAUUGAAGAUAUCCAAAGUUUCCAAAGAAAAACAGAAAAAAAAAUAAGCUAUCUUGAACAUUCCGGUCAACAAAUGCAAGCAAAAAUGAACAACCUUGAAAAGAAUGUUAAAAAAAGUAGCGGAAGAAAGAGAAAAGAUCAGGGAUAUUCGAAACGAAAAAAAAUCGAAGAUCUAGAAAAAAGAAUAAAAGGUCUGGAAGAAGCAAUUCAAAAUCAAAACCAUCAUAAAAAAGACGAAGUCAAUGCAACGACUAGCUUUGAUGAGGAUAAUUGGGAUGAGGAGGAUUAUUAUGGUGAUGAUGAUGAUGAGAUAGAUGCUGAUACUGACGAUUAUGGUGUUAUAGACGAGGAAAAUUUGCCUGAUUUUUUCGGCGAGGACGACGACGAAGAAGAAGAUGAUUAUGAUGACGAUUUUAUUGGAGAUUCAUUUAACUUUUAAAACUUGAAAACAAAAUUGGAAAUAGCUAAUAAUCAUGCCAAUAUGUGACAUAUACCAGUACAUUGCAUUCUUUAUGUCUGCUUAGUUUGGCAAAAUCAUGUUCUGCUUAUUUUAUCGGAUCCGAGUGAAAUGAAAAUUUAUUUAAAAAUUUAAAAAAUU